UCUGGAGGUUCAUUCAAAGGUUUUUAAAGAGUACUUGAUAAUUUAAAGGAAAUAGCUAAAAUUAAGUGAUUCAUUAAGUCCCACAAGCAGAGUCACUCAGUGUAAGCAUUAGGCACUAUGUAAGUAUAAUACUGUUAUAUGGGUUACCUUUACUUCUGUCAAUACUGCUGGUAAAAAUACUUGUUACUCUAUGUUUUGUUUUAGAUAGAAAUUCAUUGUUGCUGAGUAUAACAACUCCUGAAGAAGGGGAUUUUCUCCCUGAAACAGGGUACAAAAAUACCCGGGACCCCUGUAGACUUGGGACUUUAUUUGGACUUUACUUUCGAAGACUUUUUUGAGAGUGGUGCUCCAACAUUAUUUUCUUCAUUCCAGUAUACAGCAACACAACCAACCAUCUGUUUAAAUUGUUUGGAAGAUAUUUUCAUUGACUAUGUAUCCCUGAAGCCUAUAUACAUUGGAACCAAUACCAGACUUGAAUAACUUUUAUGUUAGAGCUGUUGCUCCUUUUCAUUUUGUCUGGUACGGCCAAAUUGAGCUUUGUACGGGGAACUUUAAUAAUAUAUGUUAUUUGGACACAUUUUCUUUGUACAUAGACUAUCGUGUGUUUGUAUAGAUACUUUACAAGUAUUCUGGGAUUUUGUAUAGUAGCAAUGCAGGAUUCUAACAUUGGUUUCCCCCGUUGUCCAACGGACUUGACCCACUGCCUGACAGAUUCCCCCACUGUACCUGGCUUAAGGAAUACAAUGUCAUGAGGCCCUUAAUGUUUCCUCUUUCAAAUUUUGGGUUGCUUGCAUAAUUGUGUUCACUUGUACAUGACUUUAUCCAGAGAAAAUUCUAUGAAAACAUCUUCAGAAGCCAUCUUGUUAGAAAGCUGUUACAACCAUGUUAGCAUUAUCAAAGAAGUUGUUAUUUUUAAGAACAUAUUACAUUGUAGAGGAUGGCGUUGUAGGGCAGUAAGCUCAUCUAUAAAAUGAAAUUUAAGGAUGGCCACUCCUCUUCCAGCAUAGGACAGCUGAAGAGGUGUAAUUCAGCAGCCAUCUGUGCUGCUGUCACAACUUGUGAUUGCGGUAGACAGGAGGUGUACGGUUGGCCGUGGCCUAUAAAGGACGGAGACAGGUGGGAGGCCAAGUGAAGAGGUGGGGGAGUGCCUGCUACAAAAGGGACCCAGCAUGCAUUCCCGAGACAGUUCCAAAGAAAUGCGGGAGAUACUGGGGUUGCUUUAGCAGAAUAGCAUUGGGACAUGCAUCCGGAAGAGCUACUUCAUAGUUCUUGCAGGGAAGUAUAAGGCAAGGGGAGACGUUCUAAAUGAGUUAUUAGGAGGAAGGAAAAGAUUUCAAAAGUACAGAGGAAUGAAAUGGAAUUAAUGGAUUGUGCUGAAUUUAAGGAAAACCCACUGAUAGAAAGGACAGAGCAUGGAGACAUUGUGAAGCAGUGAAGCUGUCAACUACAGAAUGUUUAAAAGACAGGAGACAAAUAAUUUUAGAAACAAAAAAAAGAUCACUAAUAAGUAUAUUGUUCUUUCUAGUUAUCAACAACCUUAAACAAAAUCAGUUGUAAGAUAGUCAGUCUCUUAGGGAAAACAUCCCGGAAGAAAGGCCUCUCUGUAGGUCUCCAUGGUUGCUUUGAAAUAUCCCUAAUACUCCACCCACAAUUUGGAUGAUGGGGACAUGAGUUCAUGCGCAGAACAAGAUUCAAGAGGAAGACUCUGAUAGCUUAUGAGGAAAGUAGCAGAAGCACAUAAAAGAAGAUGGCAUCAGAACAGAGGAUCCUCUUCCUAAAACCUUUUCCCAACCUUUCUGCUUCAAGUCUCCUAGCAGCAAGGUCAGCCAUGAUGUAGCUCCUUUCAUGAUUGCAAGGAUGUUUGCAUUUUCAGACUGAAAGGAGAAACUUGAUAUGUAUACACUCUUAAAAAUCAAUCAUGCUGCAUUUUACAGCCGGUGCAUUUUUGUAAGUUUCAGUUCUUGUACAUUUCAGGCAUGGGCUCUUGAAGACGGCACAGGCAGAAAGACCUCGAGUUCAGGAUGGCCACUUGCAGGUAGAACUUGAGUCCUGCUCUGGCUGGUCAAAGGGAACCACGGCUGUCUUCCUUGAAGGUUUGGUCCCCUUUAACCAGCUACAGCAGUCCUGAUAUCAGUCAUCCAUUUGCAACCUCCUUGUAUUUUAAUCAACCACCACAGGAUUUCCUCUGCCAUCUGCUACUGGUUUCACUUUAAUUUUUAUGAAGCUGUUGUCACCAAUUGUGGAGUGGAUGGAUGACAAAUACAGCUGGAAGUGUUCUUGUUUCUGCCUCAAGAGGAAGUUAAUUUCUUAUGAUCCAAUAAGGAGAACAAACCAACAUUACUCCUACAUAUACAUGCAUCCCUGAUAUAAUGUUGAUCAACUUUUAAAUGCAAGUCGGACAUAAAGUGAACAAUAGAGCUAUUGAUAAGAGUGUCACAGUGCUAACUCAAGUUCCUUGAAGAAACAACUACCAAAAUCAAGGUCCUAUCCUAAAAUAUUACAAGGCAAUAAAGAUUUUUUUAAAAAAAUGUAUUUGAUAGUUUCAGAUCAUCUGUUUGUUAAGAGAAGUUUACUACAUCUGCUGGGUUCAAGAAACAAAAUCAUUGCUUUGAAUGGGAAAAUUAUUGUAGUUGAGCAUAGACACAUUUCGAGUGAAUUGGAAGCAAUUGUGAAAGUGUGAUUUCUCAAAGACAUCUUAAUUGUUUUGAUCUGAUAGACAGAUUGAUUAAAUGGAAUGAUUUACAGACUUCCCUCCCCACUCCCCACCACACACACACACACACACACACACACACACUGGGCUCUUCUACACAUGCUGUAAAACUUGGAAGGAACUGGGUUAAAAUGGGGAGUGACUAAAUGAGGUAUAGCCAGAGUGUGGGAGGGACUGGGUUAAGAGCUAAAAAGCAUGUGUUAAAAGGGUGCACUAAUAACACAAUUCAGCCUCAAAAAAAGUUGUCCUUCGCUGACUGUAUAUCCCUGCAGUCAUGCAAAACAAGUGCUUUCCUCUCCCCCCCCCCGCCACUGUAGACUGUUCCAGCACAUGUGCAUUUUUAAAAACCCGAAACAGCUGAUUAGGCUGUCAAACGGACACACAGCUGGCUCAAGGGAAGUACAAAUAAAAACAAUUAGAACUCUCUCAAACUCUUUCUUUUGCUCUUUAUAAUAUUACACAGAGGUUGAAUUAACAAUUGGGGAAGAGAGAGAUCCAACUGAAGCUUAUUUAAAUCCAUCCAUUAUGUGCUGGACCUCAUAUGUGCACAUGCGAAACUGCUUAUAUUUUAGAUAUUUGCAUGUGUGCAUAUAUGGUCCAGUGCAUAACGGAGGGAUUUAAAAAAAAACAAACUUCCACCCAAUGUCCCUCGUAUGCCCUUCAUCUUGAUCCGCUUCAAAAGAAGACUGAGGAUGGCAGGGGACUCAAUCUCACGACUGACAGGUCUGGGAUUUUUAAACCCACUUUUAAAAUGCUGAUUUUGAUGCUGUCUGGAAGCACUCAUACAAAUCCUCAUGUCUGGUUCAUGGGCAGGUUUUCAUAGAAUCAUAGUUUGAAGAGAUCUCCCAUGCAAGGAAAGAGACACUUAAUCUUUUACAAGAAAGUUUUCUAUCAUAAUUGUUUGUAAACAUAUAUCACUGUUUUCCCUUUUUUUCUAAUAAAAUAAAAAAUGUAACUAAAAUAAAAAAACUAAGAAAUACCAGAUACUAAAGCUGAGUUCAGAAAGUGAAUAGGCACUGGGGAUCAUAUUUUAAACACACAUUGGAUAAUGGACCACAUCAAAGAAUUACAGAAAGUAAUCAGACUAUGCUUUAUAGACUAAUGCAAAACUUUUCAGUGUAUAAAUCAUGAAAAAGUAUGAUUCAUGAAAGGGGAGUGUCACAAUGUCCAAAUGUUCUGAUGCAUAACCUCUACUCAAAACAAGAGGCCACUGUCAGGACACAAUAGGAAAAAUAAAAUGGUUUUCCAUUUGGGGAGAGGGACAGAAAAGAUGGCAGUUGAUCACCCUGUUUAUUUCAUUUAUAUUUGGGAAAUAUCAUACAGAAAGCAGGGUUAGACUUAGUGGAAGCAGGCAUCAAAACUAGGAGAAGGAAAAUCAGUAAUUUCACACAUGGAACUGGCAUCAUAUUAUUUAUAGAAAAUAACAAAGAAUUAAACUGACAACCAGUUUAAGAUGCUUUGAUUGUGCUUUUCCUGCAUGGCAAAAUGGGGUUCGGCUGAAUGGCUUCGAGGGUCUUUAACUGAAAUACUGUUAAGUUUAUGUUGAUUAAAAUUGUUCUUCAUUAAA